rnacentral:ncRNA from 2 species
AAAACCCAGGGCAGCUGUGGCCUUGCGCCCGGAUGCGAAGGCCGCCAAGGGGAAGCCGGUGACCGCUGGUUCGCGGCGGAAGUCCGGCACUGUCCCGCAACUGUAGGGACAGCCAUCGGCCGCUGAAGGCUGAAGACUGUCCGAGUCAGGAUACCCGCCUCUGCCCCGGCGCUUGA